rnacentral:rRNA from 1 species
UGGCGAACGGGUGAGUAACACGUGGGUAAUCUGCCCUGCACUCUGGGAUAAGCCUGGGAAACUGGGUCUAAUACUUGAUAUGACCUUUCUCCUUAUGGGGUUUGGUGGAAAGUUUUUCGGUGUAGGAUGAGCCCGCGGCCUAUCAGCUUGUUGGUGGGGUGAUGGCCUACCAAGGCGACGACGGGUAGCCGGCCUGAGAGGGUGAUCGGCCACAUUGGGACUGAGAUACGGCCCAG